rnacentral:rRNA from 1 species
UACGUAGGGGGGCUAGCGUUGUUCGGAAUUACUGGGCGUAAAGCGCACGUAGGCGGCUUUACAAGUCAGGGGUGAAAGCCCCCCGGCUCAACUGGGGAGGGGUCACGCGAUACUGGUCGACUCGAAGGCAGGAGAGGGUAGUGGAAUUCCCGGUGUAGUGGUGAAAUGCGUAGAUAUCGGGAGGAACACCAGUGGCGAAGGCGACUACCUGGCCUGUUCUUGACGCUGAGGCGCGAAAGCUAGGGGAGCAAACGGG